rnacentral:rRNA from 1 species
UACGUAGGGAGCUAGCGUUGUCCGGAAUCAUUGGGCGUAAAGCGCGCGUAGGCGGCCCGGUAAGUCCGCUGUGAAAGUCAAAGGCUCAACCUUUGAAUGUCAGCGGAUACUGCCGGGCUAGAGUCCGGAAGAGGCGAGUGGAACUCCUGGUGUAGCGGUGGAAUGCGCAGAUAUCAGGAAGAACACCAACGGCGAAGGCAGCUCGCUGGGACGGAACUGACGCUAAGGCGCGAAAGCGUGGGGAGCGAACAGGAUUAGAUACCCGGUAGUCC